UUGCAACAUGAAUGCGCGUGCUCGCUGUCGUUGUUGAACGGCCCUGAAAGCGCUGCGUUAGGGGCGAGUGCAACCGAACAUUACGGCAAGUUACGAUGGGAACUUCUUUCCGUGCUACGUGAUUGCGACGACAAGAACGGCCAGCAGUAGCGUGUCGCCGAUUUCGUCUUGGCCGACAUCGAACAAGUAUAGCUCGCCGGACCGUGGCUAGCACCCGAAGUGUUGCGGUCUGCACUGCGUCGUCUUUCAUCGUGAUGUGAGAGAUCGUAACGCACAGAGACUGUCUGAUGCAUACGAAAGCCUACCAGCAGGGAGUGACAGUGCCAUUUUUCUCUUAACGUCUCAGGUAUUGAAGAAGCGGCAACAGCCACAGAAAGUAGCCAUAUUAUCCAGCACGUUCUGGGUAGAAUUUGGCGGCUCCUGCUCCUGCCUUCCACCACCACCCUGUCCCGACUGCUUCCACUAGAGAGUUGGCAACCUUAGUGAUGAUGCCAAGCAGUCCGAUGGCAGACGGCAAGAUGCAGGUUGCUGCGAAAUUUUACGCGAGCUGGGCCACACACUUGAGCCAGGCCUCUUGGAAAGGAUGCCAUAAUCAGACUCCACGCGUCGAUGUCAGAGGAUGCCAGGGAUCAAGGCAACCUGUUGUGCCCCACUGUUCAAUGUUUGGUGACCUUUCUAUGUGUUUCACCUAUUUCGCAGCUGUACCUCGGCUGCCAUCUAUCCAAACAGCAUCGCUAGCUGUGCCCACUUGUUGAACCAUAGGCAAAUAUUGGCAUGGAGUGUUCCCUGGGCUUCAUGUUCUAUUUGCUCUUCAGGAUUCUUGGCAAAUACUCCUGUUAUAAGUUACAUGUUUUUAGUACCGACUUUUAAUAUUUCCUUUCUCUUGGAAUUCUUAACAUCUCCUGCUAUUAUAUCUGUAUGUAUGCCCAGUUUCUCGUAGUUAUUUUGUACUUGUGUAUGUAAUUGAUAGGUUCUUAACUCUUGUAAUGCGUAAGGCUAAAACACUGACUUACAUCAUGUUUUGUUCAUUUAUUGAUCUGCAGCGCUGUAAAACGUUCAAGAAUUUUAACUCAACUAGUGCCCCAUAGCAGGAUAAAUUCAAGAGCAAAGUUGAGCACCUAUUUCAAGCACCCGUUAUUUUUUAAAAAGGAAAGAACGUAGGAGCAUGUAAAAAACAGUAUUAUAGUAGGAAAACCUGGCUGCCCAUCAUAAGUGUCUUAAUAAUGUGACUUCCUUUCAGUGCAAUGAUACCAGUGGCACUGGUGGACAACGUUUGAGACAUGAAACCCAGGAUACGCUUGGCAUUCGUCAGUAUGGCAAAUAGGCUUGCCACACUUACGAAUGCCAACGGUACUGUAGGUUUCAUGCACACAUUGGUUGUGUUACACCUUAUGAGAAUUGCAUGUCUCGAACAUGAAGGUUUGCAGCAGUGCUUUGAAUCACCACUAUAUUUCCUAAUUUUCAAUAUUUAUGAAUGCAAGAGUAAUGGUGCAGAUCAUGUAAAAAUUAUUUUACAGGCUAUAUGCCUAUAGAUACACGCUUCUGAUGACACAGCACCGACAUGUGGUGGUGGGAUGUAUGUCUUUAUUUCAGAUUUAAAUAUUGCCUUCCAGGCCUGGGUUAGUCUACUACAUUGAGAGCCCAUGCACUAGAGGGAAGUGAAUUAAACUAAGAAUUAUAAACUUCAAAAUAUCUUGUUCGUGGCACUAAUUUAACAAUCAGCAAGGUUCUUUCUGCAUUCAUUUCCAAAUUUGUGAUAUAUUUUAUAUGACUCGUUUCAUUAAUGUGAGAACAAAUAUUUGUUUAUUGUCAACAUAGUUGAUGUUGCCCAUUUGCACACCAUUCCUUAACAGGCUAAAAAUUCGAUGUAAUAAUGGGGUGUUUAAGGUUUUGCGCACUCAGUGUUAAGGGACACAAAUGGUGGCAUACAACAGAAUGCACGAAAGAACAAAAAAAUGCAAGUAGGACAUGGGGCUUUGGGGCAGAUGCUUUGGUGUGCUAUUUCUAAAACUCCCUGUGCUCUGCCUGAAUGCAUUGUCUAACGCUUUGGUAGAAUACAUUGGCAGCCACUUAUUCAGGUGAAAUGCUUCUCUAAACAACUUUUUAAAAUUAUUUCAGUGAGAGAUUUGAAAAAUCCUGCUGCAUAUAGUUUUAUAUGCAGAUUUUAAGUAUGUCAGUGGUUUUUGUGUAGCUGCUAUAUUUUUUUAGUUAGGUCCUACACAGUGGCAAAGUAUCUGCGGGCACUUUAAUGUAUAUAACAGUUUCACAAGAAUGAUCGUGCUGUAUCUUAUUCAGCUCGUAGACCGCAAAGUGCCGAUAUCUACCCAAACAGCAUGUAAAAUUACUGAAACUAUGCAAAAAAUAGGACACUUGAAAUAAUUUUGAAAGAUAUUGCAAUUUCAAGUAGAUAUUAGCAUUCUACAUACCUUAAGAGUAUGUAAGCCGAAUCUCGUUAGUAUCGGACAAAUGUAAGUGCACAAAGUUAUUUGCAUGGGAUUGUGAAAAAAUUAUUAAAGUGUACGGAGCUUUACUUGCAUAGUCCCACUAAGUUUACAUGUUUCGAUAGAUAUCGGCACUUUGUCAUCUACAAAGAGCUAAGUUAGCACAAUGGUUUUUGUGAAAAUUUAAUACAGAAGAAACUGACCGCAAAGAUCAUAUACAUUGUGCCAUUGUUUAAGACAUAACUGAAGAAAUGUAGCAGCUAAACAAAAAUAACAUAUAUGAAAUCAGCUUGAAGAACCCUCUAAUUGGCUUAAUUUUCAAACCUCUAGUACAAAAAAAUAAAAGAAAAUCAUUUUGAGUAGCAUUUCCCUUGAACACAAGAUUUAAUAAACAAAACGUGUCCCUUGCUAUAGUCGCCUUUAACAUAGUGACACAACUUCUAUAUAAUCACAUGAACUUUAGAUCACAAGAACUUUAUAUGAGUGACGUGCAAAUGCAUUUACUGAGAGUAAAUUACAGUCGUUACGUAAUCUGCUCUUAGGAUGACUUGUGAUGAGUAAAAGAAGCCUUCCUCAUGUCUCUACUUUCUGCAUGUGUCUUUCAGCUUUUUCUGUAUGUCUUUUACAGCUGCAUGUGUGCAGCUGAGUUCAGUUUAGUUACCACCUGGUCUGCUUCCUUCCUUGUCCUCAUGAUUCAUGCGCUAUCUUUGUCAUGCAAAAUACAGCUACCUGUGCUACAUAUUUUGCCAGCAUGAUUGAUUUAUGGCAAGUCUUGUAUUAGUGCGUAUUGCAAUCAGUGAAAUUGUUGGUGUCUUAAAAAACUUAGUCCUAGAAAACCAUGUUUAGGUCAACUUCAAUAAAAUGUUUAGCUUAAAUAUUGGUGUAUGUUUUUUGUAAUAUUGUCAGUUUUCAAGUUUGUAUCCACUGUUGCAGAUUGUAUGAAAGAAUAAAAUUGAUGCACAACUUUUUAAUAUGGUGUUUUUCAGAUCAAUUUUCAACUCAAGCUAAGAAACAUGCAUGAGUUGUGUGGGAAAAGUGCCAACAAGAGUACCAUAAGGUAAGACAGCUGUUUUUACUGUUAAAUUGGAUUAUCGAUUGCCAACCAGUUGCUGUCUUGAAUUUUGUACUGCAUAGAUUAUGUAAUCUAAGUUGGAAUAUUGUUUUUAUUGCACUUCAUUAUCUGGUUCUCCUUUUUGCAACAGUGUAGCCCUUUGUUAUAUUUCAUGUGUGCAUUAUUUGCAUAGGAGGUUACAUCCUAAGUUCUAAAUAAAAAUAUGUCUGAGGGAACAGUGAAAUAGGUUUAGCUUAAGAACCUUUCGACAAUAUAAAAUUAUGACUUGUGUUGGGGUGAAUCGAACUUUUGCAUGAGUGACAUACAAUUUUAUGGUGUCAUUAUGGUUCAGAGUGACAUUGCAGUGUCAUGCACAUACAGCUGCAAGGUGCAUAUUGGGUGUUUCUUUAAAACUGUUUCCUUGGUUGGCCAUUGAUUCCAGUUUAAUAGUAAAGAGAACUGUCUGGUGUUCAUGGUGAUUCUCUGCUGACUGAUACAUUUGACACUUCCAGAAGGCGGGAUCAAAUCCCGGCCACGGUGGCAGCAUUUCGAUGGAGGCGAAAUGCAAAAACGCCCAUGUGCUUGCGUCGUAGUGCACGUUAAAGAACCCCAGGUGGUCAAAAUUAAUCCGGAGCCCUCCACUACGGCGUGCCUCAUAAUCGGAACUGGUUUUGGCACAUAAAACCCCAAAA